GGAGCCACACGGAUACCCCCCCUCCUCCUCCCAAAGGGGGAAAAAUAAGGAUCAGGUGAAAAUGCUUGGAAAUUACAAUCGUAGACUACAAACAAAGAAUCCGAAGGCGGCCAGGAAGGCGCAGAAAGAUAGAUGACCAGACGUCAUCCUUGAAGUCACGGUCCUGGGCGUGGCCUAUGCAGAUGAGCGGCGCGCAGGGUCUGCCGGGUCCGCGCUCUCUGCGGAAACGCGAGGGAUUUCGUCGCGGCGAGGAAGGGAGCGCGGGUCCGCGGGUGUCAGAGGAGCACAGGGACCCAGAAGGGCAGCGAAAUGCACCUGGAAAAGAGACAGCAGGAGACUGGAGAGAUCUAUGGUUUGGCUGUUAAGAAUGAUGUUGCCAGAGAUGGAGCGAAUAGCUAAGCAAUAACCGGCCCAACAUGAGACCCAUCCCCUGGGCAAGCACCAAUCCCAGACACUAUUAAAGAUACUCUGUUGUGCUUGCAGACAGCAGCCUAGCAUUAAGUGCCCUCUGAGAGGUUCCGUACAGCAGUUGACUGAAAGAGAUGCAGAGACCCACAGAACCAUUGGAUGGAGCUCGGGGGAGUCUUGUGGAAGACUUGGAGAAAGGAUUGAGGCCCCUGAAGGGGAUAGGAACUGCACAUGAAGACCAACAGAAUCAACUAACCUGGAUUCUUGGCUCUGAACCACCAACCAAAGAGCAUAGACGCCUGGACUGAGCCCCACCCCAACAUGUAGUAAACGUGCAGCUCAGUCUCCAUGCGGGUUCCCCAAUAACGAGCAGGGGGCGUAUCGCUAAAGCCCGUUGGUGGAACACUCUCCUAAUGGGGUUACUUUGUCUGGCCUCAGUGGGAGAGGAUGAGCCUAGCACUGAAAAGACUUGAUGCGCCAGGGUGGGGGGAUGGGGUCCACUCUCUCAGAGGAGGAGGAGGAGUGGAGGGGGAAGAGAUUGGGAUAUAAAGUAAAUAAAAUAUUUUUUAAAAAGUUGAA